rnacentral:sRNA from 1 species
GAUUCCAGCAACUUGAGCAUUCAAUGGGGCAACCCAGUUCAUCAUUUACUCCAGCUUAUCGUGAUCAGCUUCAGCAAUCUUUGGCGGCUCCGCAGGGAAGUACUUGAUGCCCACAAGAUCACCAACUCUGCUGAUAACCUGAGUGGAUUACAAACAUGAGAACAAUGGCUUUUAUCAGGUCCUCCCUAGUGUGCGAAGCAGAAAUGCAGAUGCGCGCCCUUGCAAGGAGCAGAGGUGUGGCAGGGAAUGCCACAGUGACAACAGCAACCUGAAAUGCCAGUGCCACAUCAGUCGCACGGUAAUAGGGGCUAGGGAACGACAAAAAACUGGCAAAAACCAUUAUUCUGUACCAUUUCUGAAGAUAAAUAGCAUUCUAUACCAUUACUAACCUUUUGUCUAAGGCACUCCCUGGAAAAAGCUGGAAUUUUGGCUGGAUUGUAGAGCAUUAUUGGCAUAACUGGAGAGUCAUUGUCUCCGAGAACC